ACCCGCUGAAUUUAAGCAUAUCAGUAAGCGGAGGAAAAGAAACUAACCAGGAUUCCCCCAGUAACGGCGAGUGAAGGGGGAUUAGCCCAGCAUCGAAGCCUAUAGACUUUUGUUUAUAAGGCAAUGUGAUGUUAUGGAUUAUGCCUAGGGUCACUGAUCAACUCGAAGUCCAAUAUUGAAUGUGGCUUUUGUAUUUAGCCCAGAGUGGGUGAUAGGCCCGUGCGAGUUGAUUGUUAGUUAUGUUGAGUGGCCUCUAGAUGCUUAAUCUUUGGAGUCGGAUUGCUUGAGAAUGCAGUCCAAAGUUGGUGGUAAACUCCAUCAAAGGCUAAAUACUGGCACGAGUCCGAUAGCAAACAAGUACCGUGAGGGAAAGUUGAAAAGUACUCUGAAGAGAGAGUAAAUAGUACGUGAAACCACAUGUAGGUAAACGGGUGGAGUCCAGCUGCGUGUUUUGGGGGCUUAACUGGCUAUGUGAAUAUAUGGUUGUUGUGUACUGCCAUGUAUUUGGUUUGCCGAUAAGGGCAAAUUAGGCCCAGGCCUAAUUUGAGUUCUAUCAUGCAAAUAGUUCAGGCCAUACAUGUGCGUGUGUUCGCGUGCCAGUGAUAUUCCUCAAGACUGACAUCACAGUCAAUAUAGCUGCUAGUAUGUGGUGUGUCAAACCGUCAAGUGGUAGACCUUGAAGUUUAUCCUUGGCGGGAAGGCAGGUGAUUUGAACUUUAUUUGUAUAUAUUUAUAUGUAUUUAUAUGAGUAUUGUUUAAAUUUAAAGUGUAUAAUUUAUUAUGCAUUUGGCUACGGCCAGCCGACCAUCAUGUUGUGAAUUGUAUAUACAUUUAACUAUGCAGUAUAUUGGUUAUAGUUUGUGUUUAUGUGCAAUUAAUUAUGCUGCGUUACCGUGUCAUGUUCGUGUUAAGUUAUGUGUAAAAGCAUGCUUGAUGUGAUAUAUGUUCGUGUGCGUGUAUAAUGAAGUUGUGUAUUCGCGUGAACUGUGGUGCUGUGGUAGACGUUCCACCUGA
rnacentral:rRNA from 1 species